rnacentral:rRNA from 1 species
GCAGCAGUGGGGAAUAUUGCGCAAUGGGCGAAAGCCUGACGCAGCGACGCCGCGUGAGGGAUGAAGGCCUUCGGGUUGUAAGCCUCUUUCAGCAGGGAAGAAGCGAAAGUGACGGUACCUGCAGAAGAAGCACCGGCUAACUACGUGCCAGCAGCCGCGGUAAUACGUAGGGUGCAAGCGUUGUCCGGAAUUAUUGGGCGUAAAGAGCUCGUAGGCGGUCUGUCGCGUCUGGCGUGAAAAUCCAGGGCUUAACCCUGGACCUGCGUCGGGUACGGGCAGACUAGAGUGCGGUAGGGGAGAUCGGAAUUCCUGGUGUAGCGGUGAAAUGCGCAGAUAUCAGGAGGAACACCGGUGGCGAAGGCGGAUCUCUGGGCCGUAACUGACGCUGAGGAGCGAAAGCAUGGGGAGCGAACAGGAUUAGAUACCCUGGUAGUCCAUGCCGUAAACGUUGGGCGCUAGGUGUGGGGCUCAUUCCACGAGUUCCGUGCCGCAGCAAACGCAUUAAGCGCCCCGCCUGGGGAGUACGGCCGCAAGGCUAAAACUCAAAGGAAUUGACGGGGGCCCGCACAAGCGGCGGAGCAUGCGGAUUAAUUCGAUGCAACGCGAAGAACCUUACCAAGGCUUGACAUACAGAGUAAACCGGCAGAAACGUCGGGUCCGCAAGGGAUUCUGUACAGGUGGUGCAUGGUUGUCGCCAGCUCGUGUCGUGAGAUGUUGGGUUAAGUCCCGCAACGAGCGCAACCCUCGUUCUAUGUUGCCAGCACGUAAUGGUGGGGACUCAUAGGAGACUGCCGGGGUCAACUCGGAGGAAGGUGGGGAUGACGUCAAAUCAUCAUGCCCCUUAUGUCUUGGGCUUCACGCAUGCUACAAUGGCCAGUACAAAGGGCUGCGAGACCGCAAGGUGGAGCGAAUCCCAAAAAACUGGUCUCAGUUCGGAUUGGGGUCUGCAACUCGACCCCAUGAAGUCGGAGUCGCUAGUAAUCGCAGAACAGCAGGCUGCGGUGAAUACGUUCCCGGGCCUUGUACACACCGC